GGGGCCGUACUGGUUUUGACGGGGGAAUGUCUGGCUUAGAUUGCAGCAAGGUGGCGACUCACCGCCAAAAAACAAUAACUGACAACACUGUCAAACCUUGGAUGCUCGGUUCCAACAACCGCGUCCUCGCUCGCGCCUAAUUAGAGCACCUUAAAGGUUCCGCGCAUCGCGGACGAGCACGUUCACUCCCGGCUUCGCGCCUUACCGGGGGAUGGGCGCAACACAAGGCGAUAAGCGGAUGCGUUGGCGGGCGUAUCCGACGAAAACCUUACGCCAAGUCACUCGAAGUACUUGUUCCGGUCCAUUCGGGUGAUGAUUUGAUCGGAACUAAGCUGUAGACGUCUUCGUGGGAUGUCCUUCGGACCGGGGUUCGAUUCCCCGCGACUCCACCA
rnacentral:tmRNA from 1 species